GCCAUAUUGUAAUCAAUGUUGCUGGAUGAAAAAUCGCAUUUUACGCACCAGUUAGGCCUACGCAUAAAUUAUUAUAGCUAUCAAGUGAAAUUUACAAAUACCUCUUAGUUUUCUGUCUGCGUAAUGGCUUUCCCUAUAUGGCUACGUGAUGGCCUACAUUUAUAGAGUAUACAUGAGUCAUAACGUUUGUUGUAAGAAGCCAUAACUGGGAAUCACCAAAUAUAUUAUACUGUAGAUUGCUCCGUGUAGGUUGCAUUGCCUUAUCAUAACCGCAAGCAUACAAUAACGCUUCAAUAACCGGCACAUUUGGAUUCCCAAGGUGUAGCAAUUGGCACUGACUUGAUAAUGGAGUAACUCAAUAAGUGUUAAUAAGAAAUUUAAAGACUAUGUACCGGUGGCUCCCAUGCACCUUAGUAACACAUGCGCACAUAAAAACCUUUGGUUACAUCUGGUUCUGUGAUUGGACAUAAAACAAGCUGCCACUGGAAUGACGUCACGGCGGCCGUAAAUUGUCAACAGAAGACGCACUCAGCAGGCGAGUAGAGCUCGGAGGACUACUGAAGGAGACGGACUAACCCGGAGAAGACUGUGCGUAUUAAUCCAAUGAUUGGAUCGACAGAUGAAGAGUGAGCCCGCGAAUUAACCACACAUACGCACUUGGAGGGAAGAUAGAACUGAAGACUGAAUAAAGGGGAUUCCAAACAUAUAUUUCUUCCUCUUGGACCUAAAACAUAAGUGUCUGAUGAAGCACGCGAUCACUACCCGCUCACCAAUCCGUCAUGAGUCUGAGGCAGCAAGACAAAGUAGUCUACGAAAAUGUGAACCGGAGGUCGUUUUCUGUCUUUGGUUAUCUAGCUGUAUGAGUGUUAAAUACCUGUCAUAAAGCUAGAUAACCGAAAGUAGAAAUUACUUCCACAUUCUUGUUCUGGUGGAAAAUAAGGCCUAGGGUAUGCCUACAACUAAGUUAGGCCUUUUGACAAGUUUCGCCAAGUUCCACCUCAAAGGCGACUCGUUCACAACAUGGUGUGUUCAAGGAGCACAAAUAGGGGACAGAAUCAUCAACAAAAAGCGAAUGAGGAGGUGAAUUGCCACACAAUAGCCCACCCCCUUUACCCACCGGCCUCUAAUGCCAUCUGUACUGCAAAAUGGGAGACAAGAGACGCCGUGCCUAUGCCAAGAGGGGGACAAAGCCAGAUCUCCAGAGGAUGGGCACGCUGAGAGCAGAGAGAGGAGCCAUCUUGGGAGACAUUGCUGCAGAACCUAAGAUGGCUGGGCUGGCAUAAGACGUUUGGAUGUGGAGUGGUCAGUAGGGAGGGAGAUUCUGCAUACUCUAUUGGUGUUCCUGGUACAGUAUGGACCAAACCACUAAACAACCAUCAGACUGUUGGAAACCAUCUCUGUCACUGUCAUACAAAGUUUAUACAACCAGAGGACCACGACAAGGAAGAGGGAAGAUUUGUGCAAUUUAGUUUUAUUUGUGUUUUUUGUUAGCAAUAGUGUAAUGAUUCGAUUUUCUUUUUUACUACAAUUUGUUUCUAUUUGUCUUUGUUACUUCUUUUUAUAUUUAUUAUUUGAGUCUUAUUUUUGUAUAUAUUUAUAUAGUUUUAAAUACUAUGAUUAUUUGUGUUGUUCCAAAUGUCUGAAUAAAAAUUACAGUUAGUGCAGAAUGGUGCUGCUUUUUGUGUGUGGGGGGGCUGAACGGGGGGUUCACCCAGGGAGCCAUACAAGCUAGAACCGCCACUGCUUAAGAGAUACGUUGCCCCCCCCACCCAAAAAAAUAAAAUAAAUAA
rnacentral:lncRNA from 1 species